AUUGAACGCUGGCGGCAGGCCUAACACAUGCAAGUCGAACGAGUGGCGGACGGGUGAGUAAUGUCUGGGAAACUGCCUGAUGUAGGGGGAUAACUACUGGAACCGGUAGCUAAUACCGCAUACCAUCAGAUGUGCCCAGAUGGGAUGAGCUGGUUGGUGGGGUAACGGCUCACAAAGGCGACGCUGCCUAGCUGGUCUGAGAGGAUGACCAGCCAAACUGGAACUGAGACACGGUCCAGACUCCUACGGGAGGCAGCAGUGGGGAAUAUUGCACAAUGGGCGCAAGCCUGAUGCAGCCACGCCGCGUGUAUGAAGAAGGCUUUCGGGUUGUAAAGUACUGUCAGCGGGGAGGCGGUACCUGCAGAAGAAGCACCGGCUAACUACGUGCCAGCAGCCGCGGUAAUAC
rnacentral:rRNA from 1 species